AUGUUCUCUGCACACGUGACGCUCUGUCCUCUUGUUCCUCCUGCCCCAGAGCCCCUGCCCCUUCCCCAGAUCUGGGCCAAGGAUCGGUUCAUUACCCCAGGCUGGUGCAAUGUCACCGUGAAGUGUGACACCAUGGGAACCAGGGAGGACCUGACCCUGUCCUGGGAGAGGAAGAGACUCCCCAGGGAACUGGAACAACGAGUGGCCCCAGGACCAGCUCCCAACCCUUGGACCCUGGCUCUGAGCCUGCCUCUCAGCCAGCCCAGGACCAGCCUCACCUGUGUGCUCAGCAACCAAGAGGACCAGAAAACUGUCACCUUGGACCUUGGGGACAUCUGUGGCCACGAUCCACAGGGACAGGCUGAUGCCUCCCAACUACCCAGCAUCCUGGGGACUGUUGUGGUCCUGCUGCUGAUCCUGGGAGCUGGACUGUUCCUCUGGAGGACACGAGUGAAGAAGAGCCUGGAGCCUGGGAGAGGCAGGUUGCACUUCUCCUCCCCGGGCCCAUACACCUCCCUCCCCUGGACCCUGGGCUCCCUUCCUCCUGCCUUUACUGCUCAGGGGAUGUCCCUGCAGGAGGCUGGUGGGGGCGGCCAUGGCCUUGGGGUCAUGGAGGGGAGGAGAUAGGGUUUCAGGGCUCACACUCCAGCUCCCUGUGUUUAUGACCCAGGUGCAGGGUCCCAGGAGGAGCACAGGGACCCAAUGGGUGGCAUCCACUAUGCAGAGCUGAGCCAGCAGGGUUCUGGAGACAGCAGGGACCAGGUGAGGCUGGGAGAGGGGGCAGCCUGAGUCCUCCCACAUCCCUGUGUGCCUGGGUAUGUGUUUGUCAAUCCUCUUCAUCCACAUGGUCUGACCUCGACGCCCCUGGAACUCUUUCCAGACAACACAGUAUUAGUUACGAAAUACACCUCAGGGCCCAUGCAGUGCUGAGUGAUUAGGGGAGGUCAUGUCAGCAGCACUGGGUCUGGGGGGGGUCCCUCUGAGCCUCUCUGUCCCUCUGCUGUUACAGGACCCUCUGUCUGCAUUCCAGGGUAGGGGUGCAGCUCGUCUAGAAGGGGAGACGCCCCUCACUACUGUCUACAGUGAGGUCCGAAGGCCAGGCAGGGCCCUGAUGAGGAUUUAAUUGGAAGAAGCAGGAGAAUCCGGCCCCCUGGGGACACCUGUCUUGGGACCAUGAUGCCUGCAGCUCUGGUCUCACCUCUUCCUUCUCUGACUCCUCUGGUGAGGGACUGGCUGGUCCAAGCAUCAGCUAGUGUCUAUGCUAAGUGGUUCUGCACACGUUCACCAUGAGACACACACAGUGGUAGAGCAAGCGGGAAACUGAGUCCAUGAAUUGGUACCAACAUGUUCCAGGUCGGCUCAGCCUCAGCCCGGACACCCCUGGAUGGACUCUGCUCUCCUCCUCAUCUAUAGGACAGCAAACUACCUUCAGACCCUCGCCCCCUGGACGCACCACUGUGACUUACAGCCUCCCACCGGGACAGUCUGAAGAGCAGCCCGUGGUCAGGCUGGGCCGAGAGCUAUUCAGGGACGCGAUGCGUCCGUGGCGGUCAGCGCCGGCUGCGUGCUGCUCUGUGGCCCGCACUGCUCUGACCUCGUGCAGGCUGGGACCUCCCGGGCCUCGUGCACACGCCGUGAUGUGGGGGUCUUGUGCACAGGGUCGGGUCAGUAGAAGGAGGCCUUGGGGGCUGACUCUGGAGGCCGCGCAGCUGGGAGCGCUGGGCCGGGACCCAGCCGGGGGAUCUGGGCUCCAGGGCGCGGCUCCCCAGCCCUCGGCUGUCUGUCCCGAGUCCUGGCAAAGCUCCCUUCUGUCCUGUCCUGCCGCAAAUGGCAGAGCCUCCUACUGUUCAGGAAGAAAUGGAAGUUUCUGGGUCCUACCAGUUAGCUUUUAACAGGCUGUGUUGAUUGACACCUGCCUCCCUCCUUCUCCUGCCUCCGGGAAGGAUGUCCUGGGGUCUCAGUAGGACUUUCCCCUGCACUCUAGAGACCUUCCCUGGGGACGAGCCACCCGUGCGCUCUUCCUCAGAGCAGAGUAACUUUUUGGUUUUUUUUAAUGCCGUUUGCAAUAGUAAAACAGCCAGAGGCGAAAGAGGAAAACGGAUGACAGACAGGGACACACGUGUGCCCUGGAGCCGGGGCCCAGCCACAGCCUGGCUCUUCACUUGCCCCACACCCAGAGGCAGGGGACGGAGGCUUGAGGACACGAGAGGAGCCGAGUCCCCGGGAAGGCCAGAGCCGUGGUCCCCGAGAGCUGCGGCCCUGACCGUCCACCUUAGAGGCUGCAGGAAGGGAACCUCAAUGCUCCACGAUGCAGACAAACCCAGGGGAUGAGACCUGAGGCUCCAUAAAUCUCUCAGUGGAUCAGUCCUUCCACUGCGCCUCCAUCCAGGUGCAGUGGGGGGACCCAGGAGCCUCGGGCACCUCCACUCCCUCUGCCACGUGGCUCCCUUCUGAACCUCCACGUUCGAGGGCAUCAGUGGGACGGACCGACGCUGGGUCCUGGUCGACUCUCCUCCCGCAGAGACUCUCUGAGCCUGUAAAGUUCCUGCUUCCUGACUUGGUUUGCGAAAGCGAACGGAUGGAGCGUGUGUGAGGAUGCAUCUGUCCUCUGCUUGCUCCCCCUUCUCAGCUGCCGCCCCCCGGUGCUGCUCACCAAUGCUGCUCGCGCUCAGGGCGGCCCUAGUCCCAGGGCUGUUUCUCCCUCAGAGCCUGCGGCAGCCUGAGGGCGGAGGGCGGCCCGGAGCCCCGAGCUGGGGGCGGCACAGGCGUGCCUGGGCCCGCUGGCCCUGGGCUCGAUGGCCUUUCUGUCCUUCAACACUGACCACGAGACUCUUUCCGGAACACGACUUGGUGUCAAGCAGAAUAUGGCAGUGCUGGCUUCAUCAUGGACUCGUUUUGUAAAGAUUUUAUUUAUUUGAGGGAGAGAGAAAACAAGCAUGUGGGGGUGAGGAAGAGGGAGAAGCCGACUUCCCCUGAGGGGAGAGCCCAACACAGGGGGCUGCAUCCCAGGACCCUGGGAUCACGACCUGAGCUGUAAGCAGAUGCUUAAGUGACUGAACCAACCAGGUGUCCCCACGGUGAACUCAUUUUUAUUAAGAAUCAAAGUUGACUGAACUAAGCUACUGUAUUUUAUUUCAAAGAAUAAUUUCUUGGAUUUUCAGCUGGCUCAGUUUGUGACCCUUGCUCUCAGGAUUGGAGUUCAAGCCCAUGUUCUGUCUAGAGUGAUUUGAAUUAAUUAAUUAAUCAAAGGAUGGGAUGCCUGGGUGGUUCAGUAGGUUAAGUGACUUACUUCGUCUUCAGUCAUCAUCUCAGGAAUCUGAAAUUGAGCCCCGCCUUGGGCUCCCCACUCAGGGAGAGUCUACUUGUCCCUUCCCUCUGCCCCUUCCCCUAUUGUGCGCGUGCUCUCUCUCUCUCUGUCUCCCUCAAAUAAAUAAAUAAAAUCUUUAAAAAAAAUAAAAAGG
rnacentral:lncRNA from 12 species